AUUGAACGCUGGCGGCAGGCCUAACACAUGCAAGUCGAACGGUAACAGGAAGAAUCUUGCUUCUUUGCUGACGAGUGGCGGACGGGUGAGUAAUGUCUGGGAAACUGCCUGAUGGAGGGGGAUAACUACUGGAAACGGUAGCUAAUACCGCAUAACGUCGCAAGACCAAAGAGGGGGACCUUCGGGCCUCUUGCCAUCGGAUGUGCCCAGAUGGGAUUAGCUAGUAGGUGGGGUAACGGCUCACCUAGGCGACGAUCCCUAGCUGGUCUGAGAGGAUGACCAGCCACACUGGAACUGAGACACGGUCCAGACUCCUACGGGAGGCAGCAGUGGGGAAUAUUGCACAAUGGGCGCAAGCCUGAUGCAGCCAUGCCGCGUGUAUGACGAAGGCCUUCGGGUUGUAAAGUACUUUCAGCGGGGAGGAAGGGAGUAAAGUUAAUACCUUGGCUCAUUGACGUUACCCGCAGAAGAAGCACCGGCUAACUCCGUG
rnacentral:rRNA from 1 species